rnacentral:rRNA from 1 species
GGAUAUUGCACAAUGGGGGAAACCCUGAUGCAGCGACGCCGCGUGGAGGAAGAAGGUUUUCGGAUUGUAAACUCCUGUCGUUAGGGACGAUAAUGACGGUACCUAACAAGAAAGCACCGGCUAACUACGUGCCAGCAGCCGCGGUAAAACGUAGGGUGCAAGCGUUGUCCGGAAUUACUGGGUGUAAAGGGAGCGCAGGCGGACCGGCAAAGUUGAAGGUGAAACCAUGGGCUCAACCCCUAAAUUGCCUUCAAAAAUUCUUGGCUUGGAUAGUGCAGAGGGAGGUGGAAUUCCCGGUGUAACCGUGGAAUGCGUAGAUAUCCGGAGGAACACCAGUGGCGAAAGCGACCUACUGGGCACCCACUGACGCUGAGGCUCGGAAGCAUGGGUAGCAAACA